GUGUUUCCCGAAUAUCGACAGGUUUAUCGAAUCGACUGCGAGGCAGCAUUUUCUACAGAUCGUUGUCAGAAGAGUGGAGAUUCCGAAGUCUAAAGCAGAGGUGGUGGGCCUCUCGACCCCCUGACCUACCACACCACACCACGUGAACUCGAGCUUCUUUGUGCUUCGUUUGUUUCCUUGCGAAGAACAGAUGAAAGAAAAAGAACGUAAAUGUAGACUAAUGGUAGCGUUACGUUGGUAAGUAAAGGGCAACUGAGAAGCAAAUAAAGAGAUGACAUUUGUGUACAUGUAGAGAGAGUUGCGUAACGUUUCCAACUGUUAUCGAUAUAUUACUCGCUGCCCAUUAAAUUGUUCGUUACGGCAUGGAAUACAGCCUCCAAAGUCUUUCUCCCUGAAAAACUAUAUUACGACGUUAAGAAAACGCUAUAAUAAUCGUUAGAUAGGUGAGGCAGUUUGUUUGACUGAAGGCGCAAUCACGAGAUUAGUUCUUUUGCUAGUGAUGCGAGGAUUCCUGCGAUGAUGAACCGAAGCGGUAAAGAAAAAUGUUUUAAAAUGUCAAUCAGUUAUGCAACCUUCCUUGCCUUCCUUAAGAUUUGUAGCAGAAAUAAGUUUGUAGGAAAAGAUGCACGCCGUUGAUGGAUCGUACGAGCCAUAUGAUUGCUUCUGCGUAUCUGGAAACAGAAUAUGCCAUUCCCUCGGGGUAUCGGAACAGGGAUUACUACUCUCGAAUUCAAUACUACGUUCAUCUCGUUCAUGUUCGAUACACGUUUACGGCAGUUUCGCGAGAUCCGUUCGUUUGCGGCGGAUGUCCCGAGAUCGUCACCGCGUUAGCGACGUCUAAGCACAAAAAUUCAUAGAAAAUGAAUAAUCUAUGUACAGUAGAAACUGCGGAGCAAUGAUUUAAAGAUGUAAUUUGAUGAUGAAUUGUUAUUUGAGGACAGGGAUUAUGAAAAAUCGAGAAACCGGCGUAUUCCACAGAAUGGUUUCUCUUAAUUUUUUAAUUAUCCUGAGAUAAAUGUAUCUAUUCUUCUCGCAAAUACCUAACGCGAGAUACUAUACAUUUCGAAUAAUGAGGUUAGGAAACCUUGGAACGAAAAAACGAAAGAGAAUUCCGAAGAAAAAGGCAAGCAGACUUUCUGCUGCUAAAGCAGAGAAAAGUUCAUUAAUUUUUACCAAAGUUUUCAUGCCGUAGCAAUUUCUUGUUUCUAAAACGGCAAACGAGAAUUAUGAUCUAUAACAUCAAAGCGUGGGCAUUUCUACAAUUUCCAUGAUGUGGAAAGUCGAUAAACAUAAUUGCGUGUAAAUUAUUAUCGUAUAGUAGCUCUCUAAUCUCUCAGUUACAGAUUCAUGAAGUGGCCCCGAUAUGUAGGUAUAUUCAGGGUGACAAAGCUGCAUUAAAGCAUGGAAUUUCACUUUCAUUAAAGAAUUUCAAUUUAGUAAGUCUCAUUACUUUUUAAACUCGUUAAAGCAGCCCAUCGCGAAACUGAUUCACAGAGUGACGAAGUGCGCCUUCGUUUAAACGCGAAAUUGUGCAACGGAGUAGAAAGUUUCGACGAUAAUGUAUGUUAUCGUGAAAUUGAAAUGACCGAAAUAACAAACGAAUUUGUUAAUAGUCAUUACUCGUACUUAAAAAUUUUGAUGUAUUUGUUCAUAGCGGGUACGAGGAAAGCACUAUGUUUGCGAGUCACAUGCAACUUAAUCAAUUGCAUUUAUUAGAAUUAAUGGGGAGACACGGAGGUUCGUUGCGGCCUUAAAAGCUUCGUUUGGGCGAGUUUGCUACUUGGUCCGUUUAUUUAUUUACCGAACUUUCAUUAUACACUUUUACACAAUUGUUUCACCAUCGUCAGAGACUGGUUGAAACAGCGACAACAAAUUAUUUUUCAUUAUCGAAGGAGAUAAUGUAGAUUUUGGAAGUGGCGUAAAACCGGAGAUUAGUAAAGUUUUUUAAAGUUGCACGGAGUAUCAAAGAGCCUUUCUGACCUUUAUAAAUACUUUUUCCGUAAAAGUACGUAGCAGCAAAUCGUAAA